rnacentral:lncRNA from 1 species
AACGACCCUGAGAGGCACAACUUGUGCCGUUGGGGUCAGAGGUCAGGAGGAACCAGAGAGUGCAGACUGCUCAGGGUCAACAGGAAUGCUCUGCUUGUGAUGGUGGCGCCUGGAACCAGGCUGAUGGAAGCUCCAUUCAGCAUGUGCCCUUGGAAGAAGAAAGCGGAGAGACCAGCACGAGCAGUCAAAUGUUUCCACCUGGAAAUGACGCACACGACUUUGGCUCACAUUUCAUUGGAGCACCCAUGUAAGACCUCAGCUGGACCAAUUAGACAGGGUGGGAUUGCCAUUUGUGAACCUGGAAGCCAGGAGAUCCACUCUGGACCAACCUCAUUCCAUUUACAAGUUUGUCAUGCAGUACAAGGGAGUGGAUUUCCUGAGGAACUCGUGAAGUCCCAUCUCCUUCCCUCCUCAUGCGACUGAAUCUUGCCAACUGGAGUGGAGGGAAGUCAGACAGACAGCGUUUCAAGUGCCUUAUCCACUCCUCAUAUGCUCUCUUUGAAGUUUUUCUUUCACUCAUCAGUGGUAGGAUAUAAAACGUGGUCACACAAUCCAGGAAAUUGUGAAUGAUCCUGUUGUAAAGAAGACUCUGGUUACCAAGAAUUCUUCAUGCAUGGAGACAAGUAUUUCUUUGGAGAAGGAUACACGGCUAGUCGUGUGGCCUGAGCACAUCACUGGGCUCCUGCAGUCUUUUCUGAAGUCUGGUGUGGGACUUCAGAGGAGACUUCAGGAGAGUUGAGCUUCACCAUUAAAUACUGAUCUUUACAGCAGUUUCAUUAACUUCUGUAGAGAUAAAUUACAUCCUUAUUUACUUGGCAAUCUUAGAACGUUGGGUAAUUAGAGUCUACCUUACUUUACCUUCUGCCAUGUCUGUG